CCCUUCCCUUCCCUUCCCCAACUUUAAAAGUUAUCAGGUUAUUUUUUCUUUCCAUGGAGGGUCCCAGACCCCAGGACAGCAGCGCUGGAUGGGGAUUCAGGAGGUUUGGGAAUGUUUUAUUCCCACAGCUGCUCUGGGAAUUCUAUUCCAGGGUUUCCCCACCCUCACAGGGAAUAAUUUCUUCCUAAUCUCUGAAACCAGCCUUUCCUCUGGCAGUUUGAAGCCAUUCCCCCUUGUCUAUCACUCUCUCCAUGUUCUUUCAGGCUCCCUUCAGGUACUGGAAGGGACAAUUUGGUGACCCCAGAGCCUCUUGCAGCAGCUUUGGCCCCCCUGCAGUUCACUCCCCGCUGAGGGAGGAAAGCUGCCCAUUUUCCAUGGUUUAAUGACAGGACAGCUGGAUGUGGGGAUGAUGGCAAGGUGCUCAGCCACGAUGCUCACAGGUGACACAACAUCCACAGCACUCUCCUGGAACCUCAGCACGGAGAGCCACAGCUCUGCCCUCCCCAGCACGGAUUGAUCAUCACAGAGAACAACAAGCAGCAGCUGGUGCCUUCCACUCGUGCUCCCAGAAGAAGCACAAAGACACCUUUGGAGACACUACAGGACAAAGAAUUGGGAAGAAAAGGUAAAGCUGGGGGCUGUUCCAGGAGCCCAAGUGUCACAGCUGGGCUCCCUGGGAUGGGUGAGGACGGGGGGUCCCUGGAGGAGGGAAGAGGGGCUGGCAGCUCAGGCUGCACGUGCCUGCAGAGCAGGAGGUGCUCAACUCCCACCAGGAAUCCAGUGCCUUGCCCGAACGCCUCCAUCACUAAUCUAAAAUUUGUCUGCCUUCUGCAUUUGAUCUCCUCAUUUUCCUCUUCUAUGCCUUUUUAAUGCUGUUUGUAGCCUUUUCAAUUAUGUGAUUUCCUUAUCUGUGUACCAUGGAGAAUACUGUACAAGGCUUUAUAAACAGCUCCUAAGUUUAUCUGCCUGUCAUUUGCUUUUCAUUAUGCGAGAUAACAAUCUUCCUCAUAUCUUAUAAGAAGAUAGAAUGUGAUUGUUUUGAAAUGGGGAGGGGGGAAAAAGUCUACUCUGCAUUAUCCUCAGCCCCGUAGCGUUUGGAACGUCACCAGUGUCAGCACAAUCGCCAACAUUUUUCCUUGCUGUGGUCCAGGAAGAAUUAUCUCCGUAGUUUUUUUGUGCUUGCUGCUAUCUCCUCUUUUUCUCCAUUUUAGACACAGAGAGGUUCUUAUCUGGAGCGUGGUUCUGCAGCUACAGAUUUGCCUAAAUUCAGUGUGAUGGCUCCAAACCCUUUGGUGGAGCUCGUGCACCGAGGGGAAGGGUGAGAGGCAAUUGUCAGCAGCUCGCUGGAUUAAAUACGGACAGAUAUUAUUCAUGUCAUUUGACAGUUCCUGACUUUCAGCUGUAUAAUGACAGAGCAACAGUAGGAAUUCCAGCAGCCCAGCUUCUGUCUUACUUCAAGAUAAGCUUAUCAAGCGUAGCCUGAAUCCAUCCAGCUCCUCAGCAGAUCAGAACUCGUGUCAGGCUGAACGGCCCUGCCGAUUCCUGCCUCCUCCCCUGCUCUGAUUUUUCCCAUCUCACGCUGCCUUGCAGGGUUUUUAGCAGAGCCUGUGCCUUGCCUGUGCUCAGCUCCUUGUCCAGGAGCCUCCUGGUGCCCCUGAGUGCCCCAGGAACAGGAACAGGGAAGGAAGGGACCGGGUGAUGGUCAGCCCCGGUGGGGUUUGCUCUCUUCAUCCAUUCCUUGGUCUACAAAGAGCAGCUGCUUUGUUUGGCUUCUUAAGGUGAAAAAGCCAGCCUGAGGUUUCUGCUGUGCUUUUAUCCCAGGGGUUCAGAGGGAUCUCUGAACAAUGCAGGAAUCACAGCUGUCCCUGCACUCUCAGCAAUGCUUUAGGGCUCAGAAUUCACCAGGUGUCCGUGCUGGAAUUUCCACGUUCCCUUGUGUGCCCCCCACAUUACAGCACUUUCCAAACUUGUGGGAUCUGCUGUCAGGGGGGAACUGUGGGCUCAGAGAACUUUUGCCAGGUGAAUGUUCAAUUUAAGGAAAAAAAAGGAAAAAAAGCAAAGUUGUGAAAAGGAAAUUGAGCGGGUUUGAUCAUACAGGAUUUGAUCAGCCAGAGUUUGAUUUACAGGAGCUGGAAACUCCUCCAGGCUGGGAUUACCAUUCUGGUUCUGCCUGUACAAUGAAGAGCAUAAAACAUAUAAAAAUGUACAGAUGUUGGCACUGGCUGUGGCCACAGGCCCUGUCCUGUCCCCAGCCAGCCCCUGUCCCCUCGCCACUGUGCCCUGUGCCCCCUCCACCAGGGGACACCAAGGAAAGUCAAUCACUCCAGACAUCUCCAGAAUAUUUUCAAAUCAUUUGUGCUUAUUGAAUCAUUGUUGACUUGUUUUUUCUAUUCUGAAUGUGGUCAUUUUUUGAGGAGCAGCAAACAAAAGUGAUCAUUACCAGAAAAAAGGAAGAUAUGGAGGUUUUGCAGUUUCUUAUCAGUGAGAAACUCUUUGCUGCUUGACUUUUCCCUGGAAUACAUUGGUAGAAACAGGAGUUCAUGUUUCAGAAUUAAAUGCACGCCUCAACAGCUCGGUUUAUGCACUCAUAAUUACAAUUAGAAACAAUGUAAUUGGGAAUAGAACUUCUUUUUUUUUGUCUGAGUGCACAAAAUGAGUUGUGAAGAAAAUUCCUUUUAAGCCGUGCUUUCUCCCUCACAAUUUAGGAACAUUUAAGCUUCAUCUCCAACAUACAUUGGGAAAUUAGGGGCUAAUUAAGUCCAUAUGGGGCAGUACUGGGGUGAGAGACCCCUGGGUCCCUCCUGAAAUUCCCUUUGGCACAGCAAAGCCCCAAACGCCGGCACACGACAGGACACAAACCCACCCCGUGCGACGGCUCCCCGUAAAUAUUUUAAUUCCUUUAGAACAGAAAAGCCAAGCUUUCAAUGGAAAUGCAGAUGGGGAGAGUGGCACGGGGUAAUUGAGAAUGGGCUGCCCUGCCAGGCGGGGUUAAUGGGCAGUGCCCUGCAGAAAUCCGGCUCCUGCGAAUCCUUGAAAUGUCAGAGCAGAACAAAACAAGACGCUGAUCCAGGUCCUUGUGGUGUUAAGUGGAGGCUGCAGGGCAGCUCUGAACCCAAACGCAUAAUUUGUAGACACAGGAUGUCAUUUACGAUUGCUUACCUCUCAUUAAAACUAAUCAGAGCGGCUUUCUGGCAAAAAUUGAUUUUUAAUUGGAAAAGUUACAUCUGUGAACCUGUUUCCCCCUGAAAAGCUGGGAGCUGAUGGACACAACGUCCUUGUUUGCUGAGAGCUUCAAGAGCUCUGAAUGACCUUUUUUUCCUUCAGAUGUUGGCCAAAAUUAGCAUUUAAAAUAUUUGUUUGUAUGCUUUGCGGGAUGAUUUUAGCCAGAAAAGUUAUUUUCCAUUAAGAAACAAACCAGACUCGGGGGAUGUUUUCUCUUGGCAGCUUGGGAAGCACACGGAUGCUGGGAUGCAAACAGGAGGCCAGGACCUUGCACUGGCUUCCACAUUUCUCAGGUACUUUUCACCAGGACUGUCACUGGCAGCACAAGGUGCAGCAAUGUCACUUUUAAUUAAAACCUUUUGUUUUACCUGCACACAGAAGAGCUGCAGCAUCCACAGCACGGGCCAGGCCAGGGCUGAGGGAUGGAAAAGGAGACAUGGGCACUGGGGAGCCCACACAAAGCUGCUUUGUGCCAUGAAUCCCAGAAAAUGCUGCUCACUUCUCCCUGGAUGUGCUCUGGGCUGGUGGCCAGGUGGGGAUCGGGCACAGGAUGGGCUGGGAGGGCUUUUCCAGCCCAGAUGAUUCUGGCAGACAGCGGUGGGCUCUGGUUCUUCUGGCAUUUCCAUGUGAUGGAGCAGAGGAACACAAACCCCUCCACAAAGAGCUGAAAUUCCCAUGAACCUGACGGGUAUCCUGAGCCCUCAGUGCAAUCCUGCAGGAGAACAGGGAUCACCUUCCCCCAGGGCUGGAAUGGGACCUGGUGAGGGCUCUCCCCUCCCCGAGGAGCCCUUUUGGGGUGAUUAUCCCAGGAUAUCGGGGCUGGUGGGUUUAAUUGGCUCCAUUUCAUCCAUCCCGGCUGAGCCGAGUGAGAAUUCCCUUGGAAGCUGGAGGGUUCUGUCACAGCCCAGCCAGCCCUGGCUGUUCCCAGCCCUUCCACCCAAACCCAGCCAGGAACCUCACAAAAUUCCAGGGAGCAGGGAGCGUUUCCAGGGCUGUGCUGGAGGUGGGAAUGUCCCCAUGGGGAUGAGGACCUGGAAUCUCCAGGUUUGCUCCAACCUGGCACUGCCAGCUCCCCUCUCUUCCCUUCCCAAAACACAGGUAAACCCUCACCUCCAAGGAGGGUGAGGUUGUUAAUUAGAUAACAACACCCAGGUUCUUUUAAACUGCUAAGCUUGGUGUGCAACAAGGGUUUAUUUCUUUGUUUUGCUGAGAUAUUUUUUCCCAGAAAUAUCCUUGCAGGAUGCUCCUCUGAUUUUCCCGAGGAUUUUCUGAAGACCCCAGGUAACAGAACUAUUACCUGGAGUCACCUUUUUAAUAUCCAGGCAGGAGACACAAAGCACCUCUGGAGUUUCAACUCCUUUGGUGUUCUGCUCAACACAGCUGAGCAAGAAUUUAUGCUGGCACCGAAGUUCUCAGAGCUCGGCUGCGCUAUUUAAAACAGAAUUUCAUCCUAAUGAGCCUAAAAUAAAACAAUGUGUGGAAGGAGAUUUCUCAGUAUCCUCAGUUGGAUCAGGGGCUCGGGAGGAGGAGGAGGAGGAAGCUCCAAAUCCGACCGAAGAGCACCCUCUCCUGGAGCUCUCCCGGCAGGAGCUGCUGCCCAGCCCGGCUCCGCAGGGACAAGGUAAAGCAGCUCUGGAGAAUCCUUCCCGUUCCAUUUCCCAUGGAAAACACAGAUUAUAUUCACCCGCUUCUGUUUUUCUCUAGGUUUUCUAUUAAUUCGUGAAAAAUUACCAGAAGUGGGGGCUCAGUUUGCUGCAAAAGGAGGUGUUAGUUAUGAAAGGUUCAUUUGCAGCACGGUUUUGUGGUUACUGAAGAUCUUUCAGCAGUUCAUUUAGCUGAGGGAACCCUGUCAGAAGCUGGAGAGGGUUGCUGUACCAGCCAAGCCAUGAGAAAUGCUCCUGUCACUGGCCAGUGAAGCCCCCCUGUCUCUGAGCCCAGAAAGGUUUUUGUGGCACUGACAGGCACAGCUUGUCCUGCAGCCUUCCAGAAGCUUCUUCCAGAAGCACAGACCUCCUGAAGGACAGCAAGAUUUACAGAGCAAAACUGCAGGCAGAAGAUUAUUUUUUGUAAGCUUGGGAGUGCAUGGAUUAAUAAAUCCUGGAUGUCCCAGCUCUCAGGAAUUCCAUUUUGUCUAAAUUUCAGUUUUGUUUUCUCUUUCCCCUCCCCAGUAGAGCUGAACCUGGGAACAGCAUCACUCACUGGCUCGUUAGUUUGAUGAAGUGGCAUAAGUGACUCCAGCUCCCGAGGGUACUCCCAGCUCCAGAACAUUUACACAUCCCAAGGGAAUUCUGAAAAACACCACCAAGUCUUUAGGUACUGAAUCACAGGCAACUAUUUUGAAUCUUUAAUUUUUUUUUUCUAUAUUCUUUUCUAUGAGGAUGUCAGAACUAAAAUAUGGAAUAUGCUUUUCCCACUUGGUUCUUAUUACUUGUAAAGCAUUCAAAAGCUUCCAGAAUAAAAUUACCUCUAUGCCCUGCCAGGGAGCAGGCAGAGCUCCACGGAGUAUCAAGGGAGUCCCUCUGCUGGUGUUGCUUUCCAUUUUUAACCCAAAUAUAAUCAUAAAAAUGACUAAAUGUGAGGCUGGAGCUGCACAGCCUUAGAUUCAGCGUUUAUUUGUUAUCAUGUUCAUCCCAGUGGAGUUUUACUGUAUUUUUAUAUUUAUACCAAAAAAAGUGCUGAAAUAUAUUCCAUAAAUUAAGGAGUUCAUUUUCAGGUGUGACAUAUUCAUCAUCACCAUCACCAUCAUCAUCAUCAUGUGAGUUUGUUUUAAAACUUUGCUCAGACGAGAGCAGCCAAUUUGCAUUUAGGGGGAAAAAAAAUAUUUGAGAGAGAAAUGCAAAGAGAGAAGAGGUGCAGGAAGCUGAAUUCAACCCUGAAGUAACAGCCCUUACUCUUUUAUCCCAACUGCACAUUUUCCAUGGGGGGAAAGGCACUGAGGCACAUUUAACCCCAUAAACACCUGACAUUUCCCCUGGGUGGAUUCGGGUCUGAGUCCUGACAGUGAAGUAUUCAACAACUCAACAAAAAUACAUUUCUGUUUUGUUCCAGUAUUCGUUUCAGGCUUAAUCACAGUUGUCAAUGUGCUAUUGCAGUGAAUAACAUUUUCAUAUUGAGUUAUUUUACAGCUCCUACAGCAGUAAGGAAUAUCUUAGGGUACCAACUGAUUGUUUUGGCUUUAUUUAUUGUACAGGAAAGCAAUGACAUUGAAAAUAUUGUAUAAACAGAAAAUACACUGAACAGCAAAAUCCCUACCCUCCUUUAUGAAUUGAAAUGACAUUAUUUUAAAACAUUAAAAAAAAAAAAUCAUAAUUAUAUGUUCUCAACACAGAGACAAAUUACCUAUUAUUUUAACAUAAUUAAUUUGAGCUCAGAGCAUUUAUGUUGCUGUGUGUGUCAUUAUCCAUCAAAAUGCUAAAAAUUGGAGGUUGAAUCUUAAAGUUUUUCCUCCAAAUCUGUCAUUUGUUUGUCUCCACCUUCAGUACCUGGAAGUUUUAAUUACAGUUGACAUUUCAGUUCGUUGUCUGUCCCCUAGGCCACAUUUCCAACCUCGCUUGUGAUGAUCAUGUACUGGGGCCUUCAAGAGAGAGCUCUCCCUCUUGAGUGACCUCAGGCUUGUAACCAAGUUUCUGUUCUUUCCCUCUGAUAGGGAUGUUUUGAGGCUUUUUUUUGCAUUGGUAUAUCCUGAUCAUUUAUUUGUUUAUACUGCUGAUAAAUGUAUUUUUCUCUCAUAAACACACCCUCCUCCAUCUGCUGUGACAGGCAAGGGGAACAAUGAAUGGUGUAUUUCAAGGGUCAGGGCCUGUUUUCCUGGCUGGCUGAACAGGUACCUCUCUUCCCAGAACCUGGACUGGCUUGGGCUGGGUUUUCUCUGUGCUCAGGGUGGGAUCUGCUGCUCCUGUGAGGGCAACAGGAGAUGGAUGGAAGCUCAAGUCCACCCAUUUCUUGUUGUCCUGUCUCCAGGAGAGCACUGAGGCCACAGCUGUCCAAACUGUGCCCGGGAACAUCUGUCUCCGAGGCUCUGAUGAGCUCUGACUUUUUUAUGCCUCUGAUUUCUUUUUUCCCUUGUCUCUCAUGAUUGACAUUUGUCUGUUCUGGGCCUUGUUUGCUUGCACUGCACUUGUGGGGAGCCCGGAGCAGUGCAGUGUUUUCAUGUCAGCCGGGUUAAGGGUGAGGAACAUUACACAUGCACACUGAUUUAUGCCUCAGAGGCUGCAAAUCGUGUCAAGUGUGAUCUCAGCACAGCUCUGCUCCAUGACUCAAGCACUCGGUGCAGUGUUACACUCUCAGACAUCAAUCCUCAGCCAGGCGAGGGAGAACUCCUCCAGAGCAUCCAUAAAGUCCUGGGCUGGGAGAGUUGUUAGUUAUUCAUGAGAUAAUAAUGGUGUUUGCGAUGUUCAUGCCAAAGCCAGAAUCCCAUAAUCACUGAGGCUGGAAAAGACCUCCAAGCUGUGCCC